rnacentral:rRNA from 2 species
GUAUCCAGGUCUGCAUUUAGGGAUGUUGUCCCAGUCAGCGGUAACAGGGUGUAGCCUUGCUACCCGCUGACAAGCGGCGGAGGGGGGAGUAAUGCUUAGGAAUCUGCCCAGGGGUGGGGGAUACCCCGGGGAAACCCGGAUUAUUACCGCACACGUCCUACUGGAGAAAGCAGGGGAUCUUCUGACCUUGCGCUAUUGGAUGAGCCUAAGUCGGAUUAUCUCGUGGGGGGGGUAAAGGCCUACCAAGGCGACAAUCCGUAUCUGGUCUGAGAGGAUGAUCACCCACAUCGGGACUGAGACACGGCCCGAACUCCUACGGGAGGCAGCAGUGGGGAAUAUUGGACAAUGGGGGCAACCCUGAUCCCCCCCUGCCGCGUGUGUGAAAAAAGCUUUCGGGUUGUAAAGCACUUUCUCUAGGGAGGAAAACCUUAUGGGUAAUACCCAUGAGGCUUGACGUUACCUACAGAAAAAACACCGGCUAACUCCGUGCCACCACCCGCGGUAAUACGGAGGGUGCAAGCGUUAAUCGGAAUUACUGGGCGUAAAGCGCGCGUAUGUGGUUUGGUAACCGAGAUGUGAAAGCCCCGGGCUUAACCUGGGAACGGCAUUUCGAACUGUCAUACUAUAGUGUGGUAGAGGGUAGUGGAAUUUCCUGUGUAUCGGUGAAAUGCGUAUAUAUAUGAAAGAACACCAGUGUGCGAAAGCGGCUACCUGUGACCAACACUGACACUGAGGUGCGAAAGCGUGUGGGAGCAAACAGGAUUAUAUACCCUGUGUAGUCCACGCCGUAUACGAUGUCAACUAUACCGUUGGGAGUCUUGAAAUCUUAGUGUCGCAACUAACGCACUAAGUUGACCGCCUGGGGAGUACAGCCGCAAGUUAAAACUCACAUGAAUUGACAGGGGCCCGCACAAGCGGUGGAACAUGUGUGUUUAAUUCUACGCAACGCGAAAAAACUUACCUGGUCCUUGACAUCUCGAGAACUUUCCAGAGAUGGAUUGGUGCCUCUGGGAACAUCUGAGACACGUGCUGCCAUGGGCGUCGUCACCUCUGUCGUGAAAAUGUUGGGUUAAAUCCGUAACGAGACGCAACCCCUAUUCCUUGAUUGGCUACGCAGGUAAUUGUCUGAGAACUCUCAAGAGACCUGCCCGGUGUACAAACCGAAGAAAAGGGUGGGGAAUGAAGCUCAGUCUAUCAUAUGGCUACAGCAUGGCCUCACACAAUGUGUGCACAAUUGCCGUACAACGGCUGCCGAAUCCAGGGAAGUUCAACAUCCUAUUAACCGCGCUUCUUGAAUAUCUCCGCA